GGGGAAUCUUCCGCAAUGGGCGAAAGCCUGACGGAGCAAUACCGCGUGCGGGACGAAGGCUUUUGGGUCGUAAACCGCUUUUGUUAGGGAAGAAGAACUGACGGUACCUAACGAAUCAGCAUCGGCUAACUCCGUGCCAGCAGCCGCGGUAAUACGGGGGAUGCAAGCGUUGUCCGGAAUUAUUGGGCGUAAAGCGUCCGCAGGUGGUUUAUCAAGUCUGCUGUCAAAGCGUGGGGCUUAACCCCAUAAAGGCAGUGGAAACUGAGAGACUAGAGUACGGUAGGGGUAGCGGGAAUUCCCAGUGUAGCGGUGAAAUGCGUAGAUAUUGGGAAGAACACCAGCGGCGAAGGCGCGCUACUGGGCCGAAACUGACACUCAUGGACGAAAGCUAGGGGAGCGAAAGGGAUUAGAUACCCCUGUAGUCCUAGCUGUAAACGAUGACAACUAGGUGUUGCGCGUAUCGACCCGUGCAGUGCCGUAGCUAACGCGUUAAGUUGUCC
rnacentral:rRNA from 1 species